GCGGCGUGCUUAACACAUGCAGUCGAACGUGAAAACUGCCUUCGGGCGGUGAGUAAAGUGGCGCACGGGUGAGUAACGCGUGGGUAAUCUACCCCGAGGCCUGGGAUAACCAGCCGAAAGGCUGGCUAAUACCGGGUAAUGUCCCGCUACACAAGUGACGGGACCAUAGGAGGCUCUGCUUCCGCCACGGGAUGAGCCCGCGUACCAUUAGCUAGUUGGUGGGGUAACGGCCUACCAAGGCGACGAUGGUUAGCUGGUCUGAGAGGACGAUCAGCCACACUGGAACUGAGACACGGUCCAGACUCCUACGGGAGGCAGCAGUGGGGAAUAUUGCGCAAUGGGGGAAACCCUGACGCAGCGACGCCGCGUGAGCGAUGAAGGCCCUCGGGUCGCAAAGCUCUGUCAGGUGGGAAGAACCCUCCGAUGGCGAAUAACCGUCGGAGCUGACGGUACCACCAGAGGAAGCACCGGCUAACUCCGUGCCAGCAGCCGCGGUAACACGGAGGGUGCGAGCGUUGUUCGGAAUCACUGGGCGUAAAGGGCGCGCAGGCGGUCCGGUCAGUCGGAAGUGAAAUCCAUCGGCUCAACCGAUGAACGGCUUCCGAUACUGCCGGACUUGAGUACGGGAGAGGAAAGCGGAA
rnacentral:rRNA from 1 species